rnacentral:rRNA from 1 species
AGAGUUUGAUUCUGGCUCAGGAUGAACGCUAGCUACAGGCUUAACACAUGCAAGUCGAGGGGCAGCAUCAUCAAAGCUUGCUUUGAUGGAUGGCGACCGGCGCACGGGUGAGUAACACGUAUCCAACCUGCCGACAACACUGGGAUAGCCUUUCGAAAGAAAGAUUAAUACCGGAUGGCAUAGUUUUUCCGCAUGGGAUAAUUAUUAAAGAAUUUCGGUUGUCGAUGGGGAUGCGUUCCAUUAGGCAGUUGGCGGGGUAACGGCCCACCAAACCAACGAUGGAUAGGGGUUCUGAGAGGAAGGUCCCCCACAUUGGAACUGAGACACGGUCCAAACUCCUACGGGAGGCAGCAGUGAGGAAUAUUGGUCAAUGGACGAGAGUCUGAACCAGCCAAGUAGCGUGAAGGAUGACUGCCCUAUGGGUUGUAAACUUCUUUUAUACGGGAAUAAAGUUAGCCACGUGUGGCUUUUUGUAUGUACCGUAUGAAUAAGGAUCGGCUAACUCCGUGCCAGCAGCCGCGGUAAUACGGAGGAUCCGAGCGUUAUCCGGAUUUAUUGGGUUUAAAGGGAGCGUAGGCGGGUUGUUAAGUCAGUUGUGAAAGUUUGCGGCUCAACCGUAAAAUUGCAGUUGAUACUGGCGACCUUGAGUGCAACAGAGGUAGGCGGAAUUCGUGGUGUAGCGGUGAAAUGCUUAGAUAUCACGAAGAACUCCGAUUGCGAAGGCAGCUUACUGGAUUGUAACUGACGCUGAUGCUCGAAAGUGUGGGUAUCAAACAGGAUUAGAUACCCUGGUAGUCCACACAGUAAACGAUGAAUACUCGCUGUUGGCGAUAUACGGUCAGCGGCCAAGCGAAAGCAUUAAGUAUUCCACCUGGGGAGUACGCCGGCAACGGUGAAACUCAAAGGAAUUGACGGGGGCCCGCACAAGCGGAGGAACAUGUGGUUUAAUUCGAUGAUACGCGAGGAACCUUACCCGGGCUUAAAUUGCAACUGACUGAACCGGAAACGGUUCUUUCUUCGGACAGUUGUGAAGGUGCUGCAUGGUUGUCGUCAGCUCGUGCCGUGAGGUGUCGGCUUAAGUGCCAUAACGAGCGCAACCCUUAUCGAUAGUUACUAGCAGGUCAUGCUGAGGACUCUAUUGAGACUGCCGUCGUAAGAUGUGAGGAAGGUGGGGAUGACGUCAAAUCAGCACGGCCCUUACGUCCGGGGCUACACACGUGUUACAAUGGGGGGUACAGAAGGCAGCUACACGGCGACGUGGUGCUAAUCCCGAAAGCCUCUCUCAGUUCGGAUUGGAGUCUGCAACCCGACUCCAUGAAGCUGGAUUCGCUAGUAAUCGCGCAUCAGCCACGGCGCGGUGAAUAAAAUCCCGCGCCUUGCACA